UCGGGAAUUUUGCGCAAUGGGCGAAAGCCUGACGCAGCAACGCCGCGUGAGGGAUGAAGGCCUUCGGGUUGUAAACCUCUUUUCUCAGGGACGAUAAUGACGGUACCUGAGGAAUAAGCCACGGCUAACUACGUGCCAGCAGCCGCGGUAAUACGUAGGUGGCAAGCGUUGUCCGGAUUUACUGGGCGUAAAGAGCGCGCAGGCGGUCGUACAAGUCGCGUGUGAAAGCCCCCGGCUCAACUGGGGAGGGUCACGCGAUACUGUUCGACUCGAAGGCAGGAGAGGGAAGCGGAAUUCCCGGUGUAGUGGUGAAAUGCGUAGAUAUCGGGAGGAACACCAGUGGCGAAGGCGGCUUCCUGGCCUGUUCUGACGCUGAGGCGCGAAAGCUAGGGGAGCAAACGGGAUUAGAUACCCCGGUAGUCCUAGCCGUAAACGAUGGACACUAGGUGUUGGUGGUAUCAACCCCGCAGUGCCGAAGCUAACGCAUUAAG
rnacentral:rRNA from 1 species